UGGCCUUGACAUGCUGAGAAGUCUGUAGAGAUACGGAUGUGCCUUCGGGAACUCAGACAC
rnacentral:rRNA from 1 species